rnacentral:lncRNA from 1 species
UUGCAGUUGGGAUUAAUACUUCAACUACCUGCUGCUACAGAUUUAUCAAUAAGAAAAUCCCUAAGCAGAGGCUGGAGAGCUACAGAAGGACCACCAGUAGCCACUGUCCCCGGGAAGCUGUAAUUUCAAGACCAAACUGGACAAGGAGAUCUGUGCUGACCCCACACAGAAGUGGGUCCAGGACUUUAUGAAGCACCUGGACAAGAAAACCCAAACUCCAAAGCUUUGAACAUUCAUGACUG